GCGUCCCUCUAAAUCUGACUUCUAAUCAGGCAGUUGUGGGUUCGAGUCCCACCGGGCGUG
rnacentral:tRNA from 1 species